CGGGGCGUAGCGCAGUCUGGUAGCGCACCUGUAUGGGGUGCAGGUGGUCGCAGGUUCAAAUCCUGCCGUCCCGACCA
rnacentral:tRNA from 11 species